GAAACACAAAGAAGGGGUGGGAGUAAAUAUAGUUGAGCUAGUGAGCUUUUGAAAUCUUCAUUAGUUAAACUUCUACUGGCUGCAGAAUCCUGUGGAGCAGCUCAGAAGAAGCAGAAUUGGGAAGCUCCUCCUAAGUCAACACCAGAAAGACCAGGUGAGGACACAAAAAGAAGGCACCAUGCAAGAUGAAGACACACACUCCAGAAGUUAAAAGGACCAUUUUCUCAAGGAUUUUGAGCCUGUAAGAAUAAUAAAUGGGCGUUAAU